rnacentral:lncRNA from 10 species
AAAAAUGUUUUAGAGCAGGAAUGAAAGGAAGUAAAGCAGGAGACUUGAGAGAUCACAUGCACAGUUUGACAUUUUGACUUGGGGUUUUAUAUUUUGGCAUGCUUCUGGGGUCUUGCCUUAUUUCUCCCGAUUCUUCCCUUGGGGUAAGCUGUCCGCAUGUGCAGUGGCCUGCUAGCCCUUGGGAGGGGAGCAUAGGAAGUGUGUUUACUGGAGUUGUGUACGUGCUCACUUGAGGCAUUCCUCCCUGACCAGUCACAUGUCCCUAGAAGGUCAUAUACCAGUUGAACUCUGCCAUUUUGCCUCUUAAUGUGCAUGCUUGAGCCUACUCACCUGACUUCUGACAUUGUAUUGGGAAGCUGCUAAUCACGUUUCAGGUUUUUUCUAUCUAUUGGGAGACGGCCGUUCCCUGGCGCCAGCUGCAGCCAAUUAUUAUUUGAGAGAACCAGUGUAAAUACCACCUGCCCAUCAUCUAAUGGUUCCCUGACAUUCCUGGUGGGGACACAGGGGUGCUUCUCUUGCCCUGCUCAUGUCUAACUCCUACUAUAACAAAUAUACAUUAUACUUAUAUUUGUAAUGCCCAACUAAAAUCAGUAUUUCACCACUGCAUGUGGAAUUCAGAAAGCUUACCAGCCUUUGGGUCUCUAUCCUCCUUUAUUUUGAGUUGUCUUACGUAUUACAACUACGUAGAACUAAAAUACUAUCAACAAUGUUAUAAUUUUCUUUCCACUCUCAAACAUGUUUUAAACACUCCAGAGGAAAAUGAUAGUCUAUAACAUUUACUCAAUAGUACCAUUUAUGUUGCUCUACUUUCAUUACUAACGUUUCAAAUUUCCCUCUGGUAUUCUGUCUAAAGGUCUUUGAAGGCUGGGCGCGGUGGCUCUUGCCUGUGAUCCCAGCACUUUGGGAGGCCGAGGUGGGUGGACCACCUGAGGUCAGAAGUUCAAGACCAGCCUGGCCAACAUGGCGAAACCCUGUCUCUACUAAAAAUACAAAAAAUUAGCUGGUCGUGGUGGCAUGCGCCUGUAAUCCCAGCUACUAAGGAGGCUGAGGGGGAAGAAUCGCUUGAACCUGGGAGGUGGAGGUUGCAGUGGGCCGAGAUUGCGCCGUUGCACUCCAACCUGGGCAACAAGAGCAAAACACCGUCUCAACAGCAACAACAAAAAGUCCUUUAAUGAUUCUCUUUGUAAAGAUCUGCUAGCAAUUAAUUUUCUUAAUUUCAUUAUUUAACUUUCAUUUUUUAAAGAUAGUUUCACUACAUAGAUAAAGUCUGGGUUGAUAAUCUUUCCUUUUAGAACUUAAAAAUAUUGCUCCCCCCCAGAAAGUAGGUAACUAUGUAAAGUGAUAGAUACGUUAAUUAAGUUGAUUGUGGUCAUCAUUUCACAAUGUGUAUGGACAUCAAAACAUUAUAUAUAUCUUAAAUGUAAACAAUUUUUAUUGUCAAUUAUAGCUCAAUAAAGCUGGGAAAAUAUUGUUCCAUUUCCUUCUGGUCUUGACAUUUUCUAAUGAGUAAUCUGAUACCAUUCAAAUAUCUAUUGUUUAGGACACAAAUCAAAAUUACUCAGAAUUUGAAGAGCCAGGAAAAUAUCAACUUGAGUGGGAAAAGGCAAUCAACAUAUGCCCUUUAUUGUGCAAAACUCGGGUAACAGGUAAACAAGAUUAACAGGGACCGCUAGGAUCAAGAAAUGGAAGAUGCCUCCCUACAUACAUCUGAGAUGAAUCCACAAAGAUAUCAAUCAAACGUCAUCGUAAUGAAGAGAU